CCUACGGGAGGCAGCAGUGAGGAAUAUUGGUCAAUGGACGAGAGUCUGAACCAGCCAAGUAGCGUGCAGGAUGACUGCCCUAUGGGUUGUAAACUUCUUUUAUAUGGGAAUAAAAUAUUUUACGUGUAGGCUUUUGUAUGUACCAUAUGAAUAAGGAUCGGCUAACUCCGUGCCAGCAGCCGCGGUAAUACGGAGGAUCCGAGCGUUAUCCGGAUUUAUUGGGUUUAACGGGAGCGUAGGUGGAUUGUUAAGUCAGUUGUGAAAGUUUGCGGCUCAACCGUAAAAUUGCAGUUGAAACUGGCAGUCUUGAGUACAGUAGAGGUGGGCGGAAUUCGUGGUGUAGCGGUGAAAUGCUUAGAUAUCACGAAGAACUCCGAUUGCGAAGGCAGCUCACUGGACUGCAACUGACACUGAGGCUCGAAAGUGUGGGUAUCAAACAGGAUUAGAUACCCCGGUAGUC
rnacentral:rRNA from 1 species